AGUGAACGCUGGCGGUAGGCCUAACACAUGCAAGUCGAACGGCAGCACAGUAAGAGCUUGCUCUUACGGGUGGCGAGUGGCAGACGGGUGAGGAAUACAUCGGAAUCUACUUUUUCGUGGGGGAUAACGUAGGGAAACUUACGCUAAUACCGCAUACGACCUACGGGUGAAAGCAGGGGAUCUUCGGACCUUGCGCGAUUGAAUGAGCCGAUGUCGGAUUAGCUAGUUGGCGGGGUAAAGGCCCACCAAGGCGACGAUCCGUAGCUGGUCUGAGAGGAUGGUCAGCCACACUGGAACUGCGACACGGCCCAGACUCCUACGGGAGGCAGCAGUGGGGAAUAUUGGACAAUGGGCGCAAGCCUGAUCCAGCCAUACCGCGUGGGUGAAGAAGGCCUUCGGGUUGUAAAGCCCUUUUGUUGGGAAAGAAAAGCAGCAGGUUAAUACCCCGCUGUUCUGACGGUACCCAAAGAAUAAGCACCGGCUAACUUCGUG
rnacentral:rRNA from 1 species